UGGCUGCAGUAUAUCUGACUGUACAAAGGUAGCAUAAUCAAUUGAUUUUUAAAUGAAAUCUGGAAUGAAAGGAUUAAUGAAAUAUAUACUGUCUCAUAUUUAUUAUAUGAAUUUAAAAUUUUAAUAAAAAUGUUAAAAUUUAUUUAUGGGACGAUAAGACCCUAUAGAAUUUUAUAUUGAUUUAUUUUUAUAUUUAAUAUAAAAUUUAAAUUAAUAUUUAAUUGGGAGAAUUAUUAAAUUUAAUAAAUUUUAAUUUUUGAAAACUUAGAUUUAAGAAAUAAUUUUGAUUUAUAUUUUAUAAUUAUUAGAUUAAAUUACCUUAGGGAUAACAGCGUUAUAUUUUUUUAUAGAUCGUAUAGAAAAAAAUGAUUCCGACCUCGAUGUUGAAUUAAGAUAAAUUUUAAAUGU
rnacentral:rRNA from 1 species